GAUUGAACGCUGGCGGCAUGCCUUACACAUGCAAGUCGAACGGCAGCACGGGWGCUUCGSUCCUGGUGGCGAGUGGCGAACGGGUGAGUAAUGUAUCGGAACGUACCCUUCAGUGGGGGAUAACUAUCCGAAAGGAUAGCUAAUACCGCAUAUUCUCUGAGGAGGAAAGCGGGGGAUCGCAAGACCUCGCGCUGAUGGAGCGGCCGAUAUCAGAUUAGCUAGUUGGUGGGGUAAAGGCCUACCAAGGCGACGAUCUGUAGCGGGUCUGAGAGGAUGAUCCGCCACACUGGGACUGAGACACGGCCCAGACUCCUACGGGAGGCAGCAGUGGGGAAUUUUGGACAAUGGGGGCAACCCUGAUCCAGCCAUGCCGCGUGAGUGAAGAAGGCCUUCGGGUUGUAAAGCUCUUUCGGCCGGGAAGAAAUCGCGUGAGUUAAAUACCUUGCGUGGAUGACGGUACCGGAAUAAGAAGCACCGGCUAACUACGUGCCAGCAGCCGCGGUAAUACGUAGGGUGCGAGCGUUAAUCGGAAUUACUGGGCGUAAAGCGUGCGCAGGCGGUUUUUUAAGACAGGCGUGAAAUCCCCGGGCUUAACCUGGGAACUGCGCUUGUGACUGGAAGACUAGAGUAUGGCAGAGGGGGGUGGAAUUCCACGUGUAGCAGUGAAAUGCGUAGAGAUGUGGAGGAACACCGAUGGCGAAGGCAGCCCCCUGGGCCCAUACUGACGCUCAUGCACGAAAGCGUGGGGAGCAAACAGGAUUAGAUACCCUGGUAGUCCACGCCCUAAACGAUGUCAACUAGGUGUUGGGUGGGUAAAACCAUUUAGUACCGUAGCUAACGCGUGAAGUUGACCGCCUGGGGAGUACGGCCGCAAGGUUAAAACUCAAAGGAAUUGACGGGGACCCGCACUAGCGGUGGAUGAUGUGGAUUAAUUCGAUGCAACGCGAAAAACCUUACCUACCCUUGACAUGUUCAGAAUCCUGAAGAGAUUUGGGAGUGCCCGAAAGGGAGCUGGAACACAGGUGCUGCAUGGCUGUCGUCUGCUCGUGUCGUGAGAUGUUGGGUUAAGUCCCGCAACGAGCGCAACCCUUGUCGUUAAUUCCCAUCAUUUAGUUGGGCACUUUAGCGAGACUGCCGGUGACAAACCGGAGGAAGGUCGGGAUGACGUCAAGUCCUCAUGGCCCUUAUGGGUAGGGCUUCACACGUCAUACAAUGGUCGGUACAGAGGGUUGCCAAGCCGCGAGGUGGAGCCAAUCCCAGAAAGCCGAUCGUAGUCCGGAUCGUAGUCUGCAACUCGACUGCGUGAAGUCGGAAUCGCUAGUAAUCGCGGAUCAGCAUGUCGCGGUGAAUACGUUCCCGGGUCUUGUACACACCGCCCGU
rnacentral:rRNA from 1 species